rnacentral:tRNA from 1 species
GCCCGGAUGGUGGAACGGUAGACACGGCGGCCUCAAAAGCCGCUGCCCUUACGGGUGUGUGGGUUCGAAUCCCACUCCGGGUA